CUUUUAUGGAGAGUUUGAUCCUGGCUCAGGACGAACGCUGGCGGCGUGCCUAAUACAUGCAAGUCGAGCGAACAGAGA
rnacentral:rRNA from 1 species